CUUAAAUCUUUUGGCCCAGCUCCUACCUCCCGGCAGCCUUGCCAGGCCCAGAACUCUCUCCAGUCAGCCUCUACAGACCAAGCUCAUGACUCACAAUGGCCUAUUUAGGCCCAUACCCUACCUCACGGCAGUCUCCGCAGAUGAGCCUACUGCCUCACAACAGCCUCCACAGGCACAGCUCCAUCGUUCCAAUGGCCUCUUUAGACCCAGCUCCUGCCUCCCAGCCUUGUCUCCAGGCCCUGAACUUUCUCCGGUCUCCCUCUGUUGUCCAAGGCUGGAGGGUAGUAGUGCUAUCGCAGCUGACUGCAGCCUCAACCUUCCAGGCUGAAGCGAUCCUCCCAUCUCAACCUCCCACGUGGCUGAGACUACAGGUGCUUGCCACUACGCCCAACUAAUAUUUGGUUUUUUCAUAUACGUGGAUUCCAGAGGGGUGACAGCGAAACGUGAGUGGGACCAUCCAGUUUCAGGAAAACAAGCUUAACACGCCCACUGACUCUACAUUAUGAUUCUUCAGGCCCAGCAUCUGCCUCACUGUGGACCCCCCAAGCCAAGCUCCCAACCUUUCAGCAGCUUCUACACACCCAGCUCCCGCCUGCCAGUGGCCUCUUCAGGCCCAUGGGGCUCAUUCCUCACAACAGCCUUUCCAGUCCCAGUUUUUCCCUUCCGGCGGCCUCUCCGGGCUGAGAACCUCCUCAAGUCGGCCUCUCCAGACUCACUUGCACCCUCCAGGCGUCCUCUCCGGGCCAAGCUCCUCUUCCUGGCUGCGUCUCCAGGCCCGACUCCUGCCUCUCAACAACCUCUUUGGACUCAGUGCCUACCCAUCUCCUGGCGUCCUUGGUCGGCCCACAGCUUCCUCAAGCCAAGCUCCCCAGGCCCAGGUCAGGCCUCACGGUGCCCCCUCCACGAUGAGCUCCUGCCCUCCAAUGGCACCUGCAGGACCCAAAUGGUCUCCGGUCGGUGGACUCCUCCACGCCAAGCUUGGGCCUCCCGGUGACCUCUGCAGGCCCAAGUUGUCCUGAAGUCGGCAUCUCCCAGCCAUGCCUCCCAGCAAGUAAGCAAGCUCUUUUGGCUCAACUCCUGCCCAGCUCCCAACCGCCUUUGUAGGUCCCGAACUUUCUCCAGCCAAGUUCUUUGGGCCUCAUUCCUGCCGCCCGGUGGCCUGUACGGGCCCAGCAAUGGUUGGAGAACGGCCUCUGCAGGUCCCGCUCUUGCCUCCCAGGGGCCUCUCCAGGCCCAGCUCUUGCCCCCACGGCGGCCACCUGGGGCCAAGUCCCUGCCUGCCUCCCAGCAGCCCGCAUGCGGCCCAGCUCCUCCCUCAUGGUGGCCUGUUGAUGCUCAUGCCUCUGGUACCCUGCCCAGAGGCAUGAGCCCCUGCCACACACUGGCUCCUCCCACGCUGAGAGAGGUCAGCGUGAGCCCUUGCCUCACACCGGCCCCUCCCAUGCUGAGAGAGGUCAGCGUGAGCCCCUUGCCUCACACUGGCUCCUCCCACGCUGAGAGAGGUCAGCGUGAGCCCUUGCCUCACACCGGCCCCUCCCAUGCUGAGAGAGGUCGGCGUGAGCCCUUGACUCACACCGGCCCCUCCCACGGUGAGAGAGGUCAGCGUCAGCCCCUUGCCUCACCCCGGCCCCUCCCACGCUGAGAGAGGUCGGCGUGAGCCCCUUGCCUCACCCCGGCCCCUCCCACGGUGAGAGAGGUCGGCGUGAGCCCCUUGCCUCACCCCGGCCCCUCCCACGCUGAGAGAGGUCGGCAUGAGCCCUUGCCUCACACCGGCCCCUCCCACGGUGAGAGAGGUCAGCGUCAGCCCCUUGCCUCACACCGGCCCCUCCCACGCUGAGAGAGGUCAGCGUGAGCCCUUGACUCACACCGUCCCCUCCCACGGUGAGAGAGGUCAACGUGAGCCCCUUGCCUCACACCGGCCCCUCCCACGCUGAGAGAGGUCAGCGUGAGCCCUUGACUCACACCGGCCCCUCCCAUGCUGAGAGAGGUCGGCGUGAGCCCUUGACUCACACCGGCCCCUCCCACGGUGAGAGAGGUCAGCGUCAGCCCCUUGCCUCACCCCGGCCCCUCCCACGCUGAGAGAGGUCGGCGUGAGCCCCUUGCCUCACCCCGGCCCCUCCCACGGUGAGAGAGGUCGGCGUGAGCCCCUUGCCUCACCCCGGCCCCUCCCACGCUGAGAGAGGUCGGCAUGAGCCCUUGCCUCACACCGGCCCCUCCCACGGUGAGAGAGGUCAGCGUCAGCCCCUUGCCUCACACCGGCCCCUCCCACGCUGAGAGAGGUCAGCGUGAGCCCUUGACUCACACCGUCCCCUCCCACGGUGAGAGAGGUCAACGUGAGCCCCUUGCCUCACACCGGCCCCUCCCACGCUGAGAGAGGUCAGCGUGAGCCCUUGACUCACACCGUCCCCUCCCACGCUGAGAGAGGUCAACGUGAGCCCCUUGCCUCACACCGGCCCCUCCCACGCUGAGAGAGGUCAACGUGAGCCCCUUGCCUCACACCAUCCCCUCCCACGCUGAGAGAGGUCAACGUGAGCCCCUUGCCUCACACCGUCCCCUCCCACGCUGAGAGAGGUCAACGUGAGCCCCUUGCCUCACACGGGCCCCUCCCACGCUGAGAGAGGUCAGCGUGAGCCCUUGCCUCACACCGGCCCCUCCCACGCUGAGAGAGGUCAGCGUGAGCCCUUGCCUCACACCGGCCCCUCCCACGCUGAGAGAGGUCAGCGUGAGCCCCUUGCCUCACCCCGGCCCCUCCCACGCUGAGAGAGGUCGGCGUGAGCCCCUUGCCUCACACCGGCCCCUCCCACGCUGAGAGAGGUCGGCGUGAGCCCUUGCCUCACACCGGCCCCUCCCACGCUGAGAGAGGUCGGCGUGAGCCCUUGCCUCACACCGGCCCCUCCCACGCUGAGAGAGGUCGGCGUGAGCCCUUGCCUCACACCGGCCCCUCCCACGGUGAGAGAGGUCAGCGUCAGCCCCUUGCCUCACACCGGCCCCUCCCACGCUGAGAGAGGUCAGCGUGAGCCCUUGACUCACACCGGCCCCUCCCACGCUGAGAGAGGUCAGCGUGAGCCCUUGACUCACACCGGCCCCUCCCACGCUGAGAGAGGUCAGCGUGAGCCCCUUGCCUCACCCCGGCCCCUCCCACGCUGAGAGAGGUUGGCGUGAGCCCUUGCCUCACACCGGCCCCUCCCACGCUGAGAGAGGUCGGCGUGAGCCCCUUGCCUCACACCGGCCCCUCCCACGCUGAGAGAGGUCGGCGUGAGCCCUUGCCUCACACCGGCCCCUCCCACAGUGAGAGAGGUCAGCGUCAGCCCCUUGCCUCACACCGGCCCCUCCCACGCUGAGAGAGGUCAGCGUGAGCCCCUGCCUCAACAGGCCACCGUGAGGGAGGAGCAGGGUCGCACGCGGGCUGCUGUGAGGCAGGCAGCGACUUGGGCCUGGGAGGUCGUGGUGGGGUGAGAGCUGGGCUUGGAGACUCCCCUGGGAGGCAACCGCGGGGCCUACAGACUCUGUUCUCCAGCCGGAGCUGGGACUGUUCAGGUACUGGGAGGUGGGAUGUGGGUCUGAAGAGCUUGGUUGCAGAAACUUCGGGGUCUACAAACGCAGGUGGGAGCUGAGCCAAAAAAGCUUGUUUGCUGGGAGGCGGGAGAUGCAGCCAGGAGAAACAGCUGUGCCUGCAGAGGCCGCCAUGCGGGAGGCGGAGGCCGGGCCUCCUCAAAUCGGCCUCUCCAGACCCACUUGCAGCCUCCCGGCAUCCUCUCCGGGCCCAGCUCUUCCUCCUGGCUGCGUCUCCAGGCCUGACUCUGGCCUCCCAACAACGUCUUUGGACUCAGCUCCUGCCCAGCUCCCAGCAGGCCCAAGUUGUCGUCAAGUCGGCCUGGAAUUGGGCCCGGAAGAGCAGCAAGUCGGCCUCCCCGGGCCCAGCUCCGUCCUCUAGGCGGCCUCUCCAGGUGCAAAACUUCCUCGAGUCAGCCUCUCCAGGCCCAGCUCCUCCUGCCUCCCAGUGGCCUCUUUCAGCCCAGACCAGCUCAUGGCUCUUGGCGGCCUUCCCAGGCCCCGCUUUUGACUUUUGGUGGCCUCUUCAGGCCCAGAACUUGACCUCCAGUGGGCCUUUGCAGGCCCGGCCUCCUGCCUCUCGAAGGCCUGCACGGGCCCGGACUCACAGCGGACUCACAGCGGACUCUCCAUGCCCAGCUAGCUCUCGCCUCAUUGCGGCCUCCCGAGUCCAAAGCUCCUGCCUCUCGGCCGCUUCGGCAGGCCCAGCUCCCGCCUGCCAGUGGCCUCUUUAGGCCCAGCUCGUUCCUCACAACGGCCUUCCCAGGCCCCGUUUUUCCCUUCUGGCAGCCUCUUGGCCUCUAAUUUGUUUAUCUUUUGUGUAUAAAUCCCAAAAUAUUGAAUUUUGGAAUAUUUCCACCAUUAUGUAAAUAUUUUGGUAGGUGAUUUAUUUGGGGUGAGUUUCUGCACCAAGCCCGAAUUUUUUAUUUUAUUUUCCUUAUUAUUUGGUGUUAAACAGGUUUAAUGACGGUCAUGGCAACUGUUUGGCACAAUGAAAAAUAUCGCCCAUGA